rnacentral:rRNA from 1 species
AUUGAACGCUGGCGGCAUGCCUUACACAUGCAAGUCGAACGGCAGCACGGGAGCAAUCCUGGUGGCGAGUGGCGAACGGGUGAGUAAUAUAUCGGAACGUGCCCAGUCGUGGGGAUAACGUAGCGAAAGCUACGCUAAUACCGCAUACGAUCUAUGGAUGAAAGCGGGGGAUCGCAAGACCUCGCGCGAUUGGAGCGGCCGAUAUCAGAUUAGGUAGUUGGUGAGGUAAAGGCUCACCAAGCCGACGAUCUGUAGCUGGUCUGAGAGGACGACCAGCCACACUGGGACUGAGACACGGCCCAGACUCCUACGGGAGGCAGCAGUGGGGGAAUUUUUGGGACAAUGGGCGCAAGCCUGAUCCAGCAACGCCGCGUGCAGGAUGAAGGCCU